rnacentral:rRNA from 1 species
AUUGAACGCUGGCGGCAGGCCUAACACAUGCAAGUCGAGCGGCAGCGGGAAAGUAGCUUGCUACUUUUGCCGGCGAGCGGCGGACGGGUGAGUAAUGCCUGGGAAAUUGCCCAGUCGAGGGGGAUAACAGUUGGAAACGACUGCUAAUACCGCAUACGCCCUACGGGGGAAAGCAGGGGACCUUCGGGCCUUGCGCGAUUGGAUAUGCCCAGGUGGGAUUAGCUAGUUGGUGAGGUAAUGGCUCACCAAGGCGACGAUCCAUAGCUGGUCGGAGAGGAUGAUCAGCCACACUGGAACUAAGACACGGUCCAGACUCCUACGGGAGGCAGCAGUGGGGAAUAUUGCACAAUGGGGGAAACCCUGAUGCAGCCAUGCCGCGUGUGUGAAGAAGGCCUUCGGGUUGUAAAGCACUUUCAGCGAGGAGGAAAGGUUGAUGCCUAAUACGUAUCAACUGUGACGUUACUCGCAGAAGAAGCACCGGCUAACUCCGUGCCAGCCGCCGCAGUAA